UUUUUUCCUUUUUUGGUUGUCUAGAGAAGUUCCCCUUUCCACUAAUUUGUAUUUGUGCUAUCAUAUUGCGUUGAGACGGAGGCAUUUGAAACCAUAACAAUACACUAGACAAAUGUAAAGGGAAACUAUAUUAUGUAUAUUUAGUGAACUAAGAUUUGUCUUUUCAAGUUGUAGAUCUGGAUUUUCUGAACAUGUCAUAUAUUCAGUAAAGUAUGUGCAUAACCAUGGCUAUCAAUUUUUUAUGCAUGUCGUAUGUCCGUCGUCAUUGCUUUUAUUCAUGGAUCGAUUUGACACAUCUCUUUAUGUGGUUCAAGCAUAUCUUGCUUUAUGUUACCCUUUUAGGCUCUGCUGUUUAGUCCCCCUGUUUUAUUUUCAUGCAGAAGUGGCAUAUGCAAAUGUUCCUACAGCUUCAUAUGAGCUUCUAGAUGGGCACUAAGUUAUCAAUACUAUGUAGACACAUCUUUGUUUCCAUUCGUUUAUUACCAAUUAGAUAAACCGUAUGAGCUACUAGCUAUGUUUCUCGAAGAGUGUAUCCGCAUCUUGCCCUCUUACUCCAUUGUGCAUGUCUCUUCAGUUCACCAUACAAAUGGUCAUUACAAAUUCGUUGUUUGCCAACUGAAAUCAAACCAAUAUAUCACACCACAAAAAACUGGAGUUUGGCAACCGCAAAGUUUCAACCCAAAAUGUAAUGAAAUGGAAGCCCAGAGAUAGAAUGGGAAAAUCUACAUGUUACAGUUCACUGGAAUACACUCGUGCGCCACAUUUCAGUGGUCUUGAGUUGUAGUUUUGCAGCCUGUUCGACCAUAUCAUGGUUCAGCUACUACAAUAAUUGUAGAUUCUUUUCAUGCCUAGACAUGGUAUUUCGAUUUUGGAUGCACAGUGCACCUAUAAGAUGUUGUGAUGCUGAUGUCCACUUUGUAUUUUCUGCAAUUAGGCUGUGUUCGAAAGAAGGUGCUAGGCCGUCAUAUUGUAUUUUCUGCACAACCACAAACUAUCGGUUUUGUUUUCGUUCAGCUCAAUGCCUGUUCUCGCGGAAGCAUACACAUAAUGUGGGAAGGAUCGUUCCAUGUAGAAACUGAAGAAAGGAGGAAUUUUGACAAAUUAAAAAAAGAACUAAUGAUGAUAAGGACGGUAUAAGUUGGUUCCUAAGUUCAGAAGAAGUGGGGUUUAGUACCUUUAUUGUAAAAUUUUAGUUAAAUAUGUUAUGUUCGUAAGCAUGGGAAAGUUAAAAUAGAAACCCCACUUUUUCUGAAGUUAGUCAAAACGCUAUAAGGCACUAAGUCCUGCUCCCUUCGAAGUUAGUUAAAAAAUUAGUUUCUUAUGUGUACAUGUUUGUGAAGGAAAAAUAUAAGAAACACUGAUCCUUGUGAAGUUAGUUAAACAGAUGUUCUGGUCCAUCA